AUGAAACACCAGUUCACAUGCGCUCACCGAAGUUAAGCAACGUUGAGCCUGGUCGGUACCCAAAUCGGUGACUACUAGGAAAUACCAGGUGCUGUA